ensembl:lncRNA
AGUUGAGUUUAUGCAAUGAGGCACCCCAGACAGUAAGCAGUUUCGGUCCAGAUCCGGCCCACAUCUGGUCCCCCAUGGAUUUCACGCAGGCCAGAUGUGGGCCGGAUCUGGGCCAACACUAUGUUGUUAUCUGAGACUAAACUGAAAGCCCUUUCAGAUCAGAAGCGUGAGUCAAACCUGCUUCAUACUCAUCAACUUCUGCUUCUCUGUCCUCAGGACUGACGGUAUCAGUGCUGUAGCCGCCAUAGAUCGCUUCCUUUGGGAGCUUUUAUUAAUGUUUUGUUUUCAGGAUCAUUCAGGGCACUUUAACAUCACAAACACAGCACAAAAUGUAAAAACAAUGACAUGGAGACAGACAAAAGCUAAAGACAGACGGCUCAGAGGUGACGGCAGACGAUAAGGUAGAUCGGGCCGCGGGUCGUGACCCUCGUCUCUAUAGCGGUGUCUCGGUGACAGCAGCGUCCGGCGAGGAAGCGUCGCUCGCAGAACAAUGAGGACAGUGUGAGACUCAGGAAGAGCUGUGAGAGAAACACGGCUGACCUCUGAGAUCCAGAGGAGACCACGGCUGUGGACGCUUGGUUUAAGGGCUUUUCACUUCAGUGCGAAUCUGCUCCAGAUGAGGUCAGUGUGGUGGGAUCAUUCCCGUCUCAUACUUCACGGUUUCAGCGUUUUCCCGUGCGUUUGCUGUCGGAGACACAGGAAGCCAUCGGAGGAGGACAGGAAGACAGGAAGCCUGUUGAUGAUGUGUUAAGCGCUUCAGGAGAGUUCAGCGCUCGCGUUCACAGGUCUGUUCUGCUGUUCUCAUGUGUUCACUCUGGAAAAAGCGUCUGUUUUCAGCUCCUGAUGGCCGGCGAUGAUAACCGCUCUCUCUAGGCCCAGUUUCCUCGCCUGCCCGUGUUUGCUUUCUCCUCGUCUGGGGAAUUCUCCUCACUCAGGGGUUGUUUGACAAAGUUUUCCUGCCUUUCUCCCGUUCAGAUGUGCAGCUCCGAGUGUCUUUUAUGACAUCCGGCUCAGAUCCGCUCUCGUGGGUUUGAUUCCCAUCUGGAGUCCGGCGGAAAACACAGCAACAACCUGUGAAAGUGAGAUUUUCCAGCACUGCACGGCCAUCUGCGCUCCUGAGCUUCAGCACUAGAUGGCAGAACUGAGAUCAAGUUAAACCACAGCUAAUGACUCUUCUUUAAACAACCUGUGUGUUUUAUGGCUCAUUGCUACAGUUUAGAGGAUUGUAUGUCCCUUUAAAGCAAUACUGCAUAUUUUACAUAAAAUAUUCAUCAACUUUCCAGCCAUGCAUAGAUUACCCUGUUAGAACAAAAAAAAAAUUCACAUUAUUUUAAGGUGUCCUUGUUACAGUAAUAUUAAUUAUCUCCAUGUACUUACUAUAUGGUUGGGGUUAGGAUUAGGGUUUGGCUUUGGGUUACUUGCAUGUAAUUAUGCAUAAUUUAUUGUUAUAGUAACAAGGACACCUUAAAAAAAAAAAAUUCGUACCUAAGAUUAUCAAUAAUUUAAAAAUAAAAAAGCACUUGACAGAUAAAUUCCCA